rnacentral:rRNA from 1 species
GGAAUUUUCCGCAAUGGGCGAAAGCCUGACGGAGCAACGCCGCGUGAGGGAUGAAGGCCUCUGGGCUGUAAACCUCUUUUCUCAAGGAAGAAGAUCUGACGGUACUUGAGGAAUAAGCCACGGCUAAUUCCGUGCCAGCAGCCGCGGUAAUACGGGAGUGGCAAGCGUUAUCCGGAAUUAUUGGGCGUAAAGCGUCCGCAGGCGGCCCUGUAAGUCUGUCGUUAAAGCGUGGAGCUUAACUCCAUUUAAGCGAUGGAAACUACAGGGCUGGAGUGUGGUAGGGGCAGAGGGAAUUCCCGGUGUAGCGGUGAAAUGCGUAGAUAUCGGGAAGAACACCAGUGGCGAAGGCGCUCUGCUGGGCCAUAACUGACGCUCAUGGACGAAAGCCAGGGGAGCGAAAGGGAUUAGAUACCCCUGUAGUCCUGGCCGUAAACGAUGAACACUAGGUGUCGGGGGAAUCGACCCCCUCGGUGUCGUAGCCAACGCGUUAAGUGUUCCGCCUGGGGAGUACGCACGCAAGUGUGAAACUCAAAUGAAUUGACGG